GCUGUGUGUCUGUGUGAAGUGUGUGUAUUGUGUUUCUGUGUGUGAGGUGUAUGGUGUGUAUGGUGUGUGCUGUGUCCGUAUGUGAGGUGUGUGUAUUGUGUGUCUGUGUGUGUGCUGUGCACUGUGUUUCUUUGUGUGAGGUGUGUGAUGUGUGUGGUGAGUGCUGGUGUAUGUGUGUAUGAGGUGUAUGUAUUAUGUGUCUGUAUGUGAGGUGUGUAUAUUGUGUGUCCAGGUGUGUGGUGUGUGCUGUGUGUCUGUGUGUGAGGUGUGUGGUGUGUGUGUUGUGUGCUGUGUGUCUGUGUGUGAGGUGUGUGGUGUGUGUGUUGUGUGCUGGGUGUCUGUGUGUGAGGUGUGUGGUGUGUGUGGUGUGUGCUGGGUGUCUGUAUGCGAGGUGUGUGUAUUGUGUGUCUGUGUGUGGGGUGUGGGGUGUGUGUCCAUGUGUAAGGUGUGUGUAUUGUGUGUCUGUGUGUGUGCUGUGUAUUGUGUUUCUGUGUGUGAGGCGUAUGUGUUGUGUGUCCAUGUAUGUGGUGUAUGGUGUAUGUCUGUGUGUGGUGUGUGCUGUGUGUCUUGUGAGGUGUGUGUAUUGUGUGUCUGUGUGUGGUGUGUGUCUGUAUGUGAGGUGUGUGUGCUUGUGUCUGUGUGUGUCUGUGUGUGAAAUGUGUGUAUUGUGUGUCCAUGUGUGUGGUGCGUGGUGUGUGUCUGUGUGUUGUCUGUAUGUGAGGUGCGUGUGUUGUGUGUCUGUAUGUGACGUGUCUGUUGUGUGUCUGUAUGUGAUGUGUGUGUGUUUUGUGUCUGUGUGUGUUGUGUGUCUGUAUGGUGUGUGGCUGUGGUGUGUGUGUGUCUGUGUGUGAGGUGUGUGUGUGUUAUGUGUCUGUAUGUGUAUUGUGUCUAUGUGUGGUAUGUAUUGUGUGUCUGUGUGUGUGUGUGUCUGUAUGUGAGGUGUGUGUGUUGUGUGUCUGUGGUGUAUGUGUAUCUGUGUGUGUUGUCUGUGUGUGAGGUGUGUGUGUUGUGUGUCUGUGUGGUGUGUGUGUGUGAGGUGUGUCUGUUGUGUGUCUGUGGUGUAUGUGUAUCUGUGUGUGUGUCUAUGUGUGAGGUGUAUGUGUUGUGUGUCUGUGUGGUGUGUGUGUCUGUGUGUGAGGUGUGUCUGUAUAUGAGGUGUGUGUGUUGUGUGUCUGGGGUGUAUGUGUGUCUGUGUGUGCUGUCUGUAUGUGAGGUGCGUGUGUUGUGUGUCUGUAUGUGACAUGUGUGUGUUUUGUGUCUGUGUGUGUUGUGUGUCUGUAUGGUGUGUGGCUGUGGUGUAUGUGUGUCUGUGUGUGAGGUGUGUGUGUUGUGUGUCUGUGGUGUAUGUGUGUCUGUGUG
ensembl:lncRNA